rnacentral:lncRNA from 1 species
UUCACUGACAUCAUCUAGCUAGAACUUGUUGCCACAUGAAGCUGAAAACUUCUAGGAAUCAAAUAAAUAGCACUGGCUGCCACUCAUGGGUAAUUCUAAAAAUGGCCUCCUACGUGGGGUCUUGUCAAAGAUGAUGGUUUGCAUAGUAGAUUGGUGAAGACAGGAUGUGCUCCGAGAAAGAGCAAGUUCUCAACACUGCUGGUUGAAUGAGAAAAGAUAGAUGCUUGAUGGCAUCUCGUUGAGCGAUCGCUUGAAGUCAGCAAAUCCUUCUGCAUUACAAGACCUGAUGGAGUGAAUAAAGCCAUUGCAGGUGAGGAGGCAACUAAAACAACGCAAAAUCA